rnacentral:rRNA from 1 species
CCUACGGGGGGCUGCAGUGGGGAAUAUUGGACAAUGGGCGAAAGCCUGAUCCAGCCAUGCCGCGUGUGUGAAGAAGGCCUUCGGGUUGUAAAGCACUUUCAGUGGGGAAGAAAGCCUUGGGGCUAAUACCCUCGAGGAAGGACAUCACCCACAGAAGAAGCACCGGCUAACUCCGUGCCAGCAGCCGCGGUAAUACGGAGGGUGCGAGCGUUAAUCGGAAUUACUGGGCGUAAAGCGCGCGUAGGCGGUCUGAUAAGCCGGUUGUGAAAGCCCCGGGCUCAACCUGGGAACGGCAUCCGGAACUGUCAGGCUAGAGUGCAGGAGAGGAAGGUAGAAUUCCCGGUGUAGCGGUGAAAUGCGUAGAGAUCGGGAGGAAUACCAGUGGCGAAGGCGGCCUUCUGGACUGAUACUGACGCUGAGGUGCGAAAGCGUGGGUAGCAAACAGGAUUAGAUACCCCUGUAGUC